CACAAGCGGAGGAGCAUGUGGUUUAAUUCGAUGAUACGCGAGGAACCUUACCUGGGCUCAAAUGUAUGUUGACGUAUUCUGAAAGGGAUACUUCUUCGGACAAUAUACAAGGUGCUGCAUGGUUGUCGUCAGCUCGUGCCGUGAGGUGUCGGGUUAAGUCCCAUAACGAGCGCAACCCCUAUCAUUAGUUGCCAUCAGGUCAAGCUGGGGACUCUAAUGAAACUGCCUACGCAAGUAGUGAGGAAGGCGGGGAUGACGUCAAAUCAGCACGGCCCUUACGUCCAGGGCUACACACGUGCUACAAUGGCCGAUACAGAGGGCAGCUACCUGGUGACAGGAUGCAAAUCUCCAAAGUCGGUCUCAGUUCGGAUCGGAGUCUGCAACCCGACUCCGUGAAGUUGGAUUCGCUAGUAAUCGCGCAUCAGCCAUGGCGCGGUGAAUACGUUCCCGGGCCUU
rnacentral:rRNA from 1 species